rnacentral:misc_RNA from 1 species
UGCGGAUAGGUUGUGAACUCAUGUGAGUACUGCUAUAGUACUAACAAAUUUUAAAUUAUGUAGUAGCUUGAUCUCUAUUUUCGGCAGCCAAAUGCCACAUGAACAUACCAUACCUAAGAAGUUCCACCAAGUGUUAUUAAUUCACAUUUUGUACAACAACUUUUGAUGAUUUGCUUACUAACAGUUAGACUUUUUAAUGAUGUUUAAAGGCUGGUACAAACUAAAAUGAAUUGCAGCAGA